UACAGAGGGGGCAAGCGUUAUUCGGAAUUAUUGGGCGUAAAGGGCGCGUAGGCGGCUUCGCAAGUGGAAGGUGAAAUCCCUCGGCUUAACCGAGGAACUGCCCUCCAAACUGCGUGGCUUGAGUCCGGGAGAGGUGAGUGGAAUUCCCAGUGUAGCGGUGAAAUGCGUAGAUAUUGGGAGGAACACCAGUGGCGAAAGGGCGG
rnacentral:rRNA from 1 species